GAAUGUCCUAGAAGGGGCCGCGCUGCGCGCUGCUCCGGCGCGGGCUCUAGAAGGGCUUAGAAGGCGCUGCGCUUACCUUUCCCCGACCCCCCACCGCCUUCAGAAGAGCCCAGGAGUGGGGUGCGGGCUGGGAGCCGCCCGUCUUGUCUCGGAACUCUGUGUGCGCCGGGCGGCUCCCGCUCAGCCGGCUGUGCAGGUGGCUGCGGUUCCCCUCAGGCGGGCUGGGGCUGCUGGGCCGGCUGCGUGAUUCACAGCACGGUGGUGCUGUGUGAAGCGUUUCGCCUAAUGGAGAAAGCAGAGCAGCUCCUCACAAAGCAGAUAUUGGUCUGAAGGCUGAGCGAGGCUGUGCCUCUCACGAGAUGAGCACAUCUAGCAAGGGGGCUAUUUUUAUAUCCCGAACAACCUGAUUGGGAGCGAGGCACCAAAUGCAGGCCUUUGUGUCUCAGGAAAAGAAUCUGCAUCGAGUGUCUUCCAAGCUGCCUUCUGAAACUUUCCUCUUGGAGCUGAUCCACUCCUGGGGAUAUAAAUACCAAGUGAAUGUACAUGUUAAAGCUGUUCAGAGAUGGAAGCAUCUCUGCAAGGAGAAUCUCAUUUCUGUAAAGCACAGCCAUUUAUUUAUGUGAGGAAUAAAAAGGAUGCUGUUUCUGUAGCAAAA